AAAGUGAGAAAAGUAGUGACAACUUGAAGCUGGUAGUUGAGGAAGAAGGAGAACUUCUGAACCCAUGAAGAGAGUAUACCCGGUUUGGGUGGGCAGGACUCCAAAGCCUUUAGGAUCGAUGGACCAGAACAGAGAAAUGAAAAUGCAACAAGAACAGCUGUGGGGAAAAGGCAGAAGGCAGCACUGAGAAGUGAAGGAAUAUUUGGGAGGAUCAGAAGCUUGGUCCUGAUUUUGCCAUCAACAGGAACUUGAUGACUUCAAGGGAGUCCCCAAACCCUGGGUUUCUGUUUUCUCAACUCUAACAUGAGGGGCUAGAUGCAUCUGGUUUAGUUAGUCUCCAUGAUGGUUUAGUUCGUCUCCAUGAUCCUGUGAAUUUCAGAUGUUGAAAAUCUUCGGAAAAGCCCUGAAAGAUGAACAGUGGUCUCAAAUAGUCAAGACCCCCUGCUGGGAGGAGCUUCUAUCCUGCUCUGUGGAAGAAAUGGGC
rnacentral:lncRNA from 1 species